CGCCAGACAGUGGGAGAAAGAAGGUGAGGAGGGAUCACUAAGCGGAAAUGCCUAAUGAGAGGACAGUUCCUCAGACAAUGAGCCCUGAAUCCUGCUACAUCAGAGAGAACAAGAUCUUUGCUUCAUUCCCUGUGGUAAUUACGAGGUUAGAAAGAACUCACCAGCGAAAAUUUCUGGACCUGAUGCCUUUAUAAACGAACCAACCAUAUUUCUCCACAAUUAUACAUAAAUAAAGGCAGAAGCUGUUUCUCCACCAAGGUGCCUUUUCCCUGGCUGCUCCCACCCACAACAAUAAGAUAAAACCAGUAAGAUGGAGUGUGUCCCCCUGUCCUUCACUUUCAAGAUGAACUCAAUA
rnacentral:lncRNA from 10 species